CUAAACAGAGAAGUUACUGAAUUACUUUGGGGCCGAGUGAAGCACAGGUUUGGUGAGAAUGUCCUGCCUUCUGGAAGGUGACCCUUUAUCCUCUCUCCAUGUGCAACCAGAUUCCAAGAACCAGGUCUAAAAGGAGAAUGCGGCUUCUGCCUUCCACGUUUCAGGCGACCCUGGGCUUGGGAGAAGACCCAGAAAGAGCAGGGAGGCGCAGGAAGCGGGACUCCCCUCUGCUUCUCUGCCCAGCUGUUCUGUCCUGUUCCGGCUGAGACUGAAGUCCGUCGGCAGCCACAUGUUUCAGAUUGAGCUAACUCCUCGCUGCCCUUAAAGGUCAGGAGAGCCACCGUGCUGACACAGGCCUUUCUCCCCCUGGCAGUCUGCCCCACGGCGACUCUUGAGUCAUCACAUCUGGAUGACUAGGCUGACAAAAACGAGGUUUCGUGGGGUGGCAGCACCAACUCAAGACUGCUGCCCCGCCGUCCUGGCUGUUAGCUGGGACUCAGAAAUUCCCCCAGGGCGCUCAACCGUCAUCCAUAGCUCCAGCUUUGGAGGUAACGAAGAAUGUUGAAAACACUCUUGGAUAUCUGAGCUAAGGAAAGAAUGCAGUUUUAAAACCACAAAGUUGGAGAAGAAAUUUUAAUCCAUUGAUGUGUUGGAUGAGAAAGAAGAGGCCUUCCUACAGCGAGGGAUGUCAAGGAAUGUGGUGAACAGAAGCCCCAGAAGCUGGAAGGCAGGAGAGGAAUGAGACUACAUACACUUGUCACACAGUGAGUCCUCGAUGAACGGUGGCUACCAAGUGGAAUCUCCCUGGGCCUCUAAUUCCUCAUCUGUGAACUGGGGACAAUGGCUGCUCUCUGGCAAGGCUGCUGUGAAGAUGCACCGAGACUGUGUAUGGAGCAAGCACAGGACCUGGCUCAUGACUGUAGGCUCCCUGGGCGCAGGGCCUGGGUUUGUUUUAUUCCCCAGUGACGACUCAGCACCUUGUGAAGAGCCCGGUACACCCAUGGCAAGCACUCAGGAAACAUUUGUGGAGUGAAUAAAUGAAAGAAGUACCGCAGAUUUCUUUAACUUCUCUGAGCCUCGACUUCCUCAUCCAUCAAAUGGGCAUAUAAAUCCUUACCUGAGCAGGCUGUUGUGAAAACCAAGGGCCCACAGCAGAUGCUCCAACCAUUCUCCGACAGGGCACACCAGGAGGCCCCCUGCACAGGCCUCGCACCCCAUUCCCUAGGCAGACACCACAAGAGGCAGCUGGGUAAGUAAGAGUAACGUUUACUGAGCGAUACAGGACUGAGUACUAUGAAGGUUUACCAGGAUGGAAAUGCGCCCCACCCCCGCCCCGGCCAC